AUUGAACGCUGGCGGCAGGCCUAACACAUGCAAGUCGAGCGGUAACAGAUCUAGCUUGCUAGAUGCUGACGAGCGGCGGACGGGUGAGUAACGCGUAGGAAUUUGUCUAGUAGUGGGGGAUAGCCCAGAGAAAUUUGGAUUAAUACCGCAUACGCUCUACGGAGGAAAGCAGGGGAUCUUCGGACCUUGCGCUAUUGGAUAAGCCUGCGUGGGAUUAGCUAGUUGGUGAGGUAAAGGCUCACCAAGGCGACGAUCUCUAGCUGGUCUGAGAGGAUGAUCAGCCACACUGGAACUGAGACACGGUCCAG
rnacentral:rRNA from 1 species